GGAGAGGUUCCAGAGCGGUCAAAUGGGGCAGACUGUAAAUCUGCUGGCUAUGCCUUCGAUGGUUCGAAUCCAUCCCUCUCCACCA
rnacentral:tRNA from 1 species